rnacentral:rRNA from 1 species
GCGAACGCUGGCGGCAGGCCUAACACAUGCAAGUCGAGCGGCCCUUCGGGGCAGCGGCGGACGGGUGAGUAACGCGUGGGAACGUGCCCUUUGGUACGGAACAACUGAGGGAAACUUCAGCUAAUACCGUAUGUGCCCUACGGGGGAAAGAUUUAUCGCCAUUGGAGCGGCCCGCGUUAGAUUAGCUAGUUGGUAGGGUAAUGGCCUACCAAGGCGACGAUCUAUAGCUGGUCUGAGAGGAUGAUCAGCCACACUGGGACUGAGACACGGCCCAGACUCCUACGGGAGGCAGCAGUGGGGAAUCUUGCGCAAUGGGCGAAAGCCUGACGCAGCCAUGCCGCGUGAAUGAUGAAGGUCUUAGGAUUGUAAAAUUCCUUCACCGGGGACGAUAAUGACGGUACCCGGAGAAGAAGCCCCGGCUAACUUCGUGCCAGCCGCCGCGGUAAAAC